UAGGAAAUCUAUUUAUUCACUGGGGAGUUGAUGAAAUAUUGAUGGCUCUGUAGUCUAUAAGCAACUACCACAAUCUUAUCCUUCACCCAUCCCCUGCUUAUCCUUCACACCCCCUUUGAACCGCUUCAACGCUGUUCUCUCAAACCGUUGAAACGGACUCCAACACACUCCAUCAUCAUCGUCUCCAACAACACCCCCAAUCACAUCAACACCACCAUCAUCAUCAUCUCCAAGUUCAACCGCCUCUCUCAUCAACACCUUCAAUUCAUCAACCGGCCAUUCAAACUCCUCCACCUCCUUCUUCUCUCUCAUCUCUCCUCCUAAACCCCUCUUCCCUCCAAUUUUCGCUCGAAUUGCAGAGAGAAGUAUUGGAUCCAAGUAAUCUUCAAGCCUCUUGGUUGAACUCGACGAUUCGGAGCUCGUGAUAUCAUCAUUCCUGUAAGUAAAAAGGCAAAUCAUAUAUUCACAUACUUGUUGAAAUUUGAAUGGAUAUGGUUGAGAGAUGUGAUGAGAAUUUUGAGUACCUAAGUCUGGUGGAUGAUGAGGUUGAUGACUGGGAGUGAAGAGAGGGAGGUCGAACGAGGCGUCUCUGGAUCUCUUCGACGGUGGCGAGAGGUUUCGAAUCCUCGGCUUUGCUUUUCUCCAUCUCUGUUGUCUCUCUUCCGCCGGAGACUCUCUCUCUCUCUCUCUAUCUGGCGUUUGGGCUUUUGAAGCGAUUUUCGAUCCUCCUUUAAAGCGUGGUCUGAAGAAGGUAUAUUACUACUACCUGUCCUGUUUUUCGCGUACGUGAACUAUGUUCUCUAUUGAUACGUGUUGGUGAGGCAUCUUGUUCUCAUUAUUAAUGCUCGUUCCUCAAUCUGUACCUAUUUGAAGGGAAGGAGCGAAAGCAAAAUAUCCAUGGUGAUGAGUGUUUGUUCCUCUGCCCUAGUGAGAAGUGAGGGAAAGCUGCCCAUUGGUUCGACCAGUUUUAUCAAUCGUGGUGAAAAGAUUACAUGUGAUUUUGACCAAGAGAGGUCCAAGACAUCAUCCAGGUGACCUGUGAAAGAGCAUACUGGUCUUUCUGAGAGCGAGAAUACAGUUUCUGGCACAUGGACAUAAUCAGGUAUUAAGUUACCCUUUUUUUUGGUGGACCCUUUUCCCCUCUUCCUCCUCUCUGACAGCAUUGGCGAAAGCUCUGCGAGAUGCAGCCGUUCUUUCCUUCUCUCUGAUGGCAUUGGCGAAAUCUCUGUAAAUGAAGAUGGUCGGUCUGACAUACUUCUUGCCAUGGGGUGAAGUGGGGUAGAACUAACAGAAUUAUAAUCAUCAUAUGGUUUUACCGAUGUAACUUCACAUUCUUGUACUUCCCACACGUGAAUUACCCGAUCUUCGCCUGCACUCGCUAGGUAAUGCCCAUCUGGAUUGAAUCUCAUUGUCCAAAUCGAGCCCUCAUGAGCCUGAAUUUCUUGACACAAAUGCAAGGCAGUAAAUUCUUUAAUGGAUUUCCCAUGCUGACGGACUUUAAUCCACUUAUUGGUUGAAUUCUUGUUAGUCCGUUGAUCUCCUAUUGAAUGAUCUCUUUCUUUGUCGACGAUUAAUCCGCUCAUUGAAUUUGCUACACCCUUUAUGUUCUUCAACAGGGCAACCCCUCUUCUCUUGCUGUUUCGAAACCUCUUGCUAAGGUAUGAAUUCGUGUUGAUUUUCCUUGCAUCGUCGAGGCUUCUUGAUACAUUUUCGCGGCGCAUAAGCUCUUUAACGACAGGGGAAUAACCGACACACUUCUCGAAUUCCUCCAUGGUUAGCUGCUUCCCAGUCUGAACUUCGCUCAGCCUAUUCCACAUCCCAUCGUCAUUAAACUCUUUGACGAUGAACUCCUUACCUGUAUCCAAAUUUUUUAUCAAAAAGAACGCACCAAACUGACCAUCCGACAAUAUAGAUGACAACACGGCGCUGUUGAGCAUUGAAGAUCUAUUUCUGGAUCUUUUUGGUGAUACUUUUACUGUAUUUGCAUAUUGACAUAUACCACCAUGUGGUGUUACUAACAUUGACGAUGUUCUUGUGAGCCGUUGUUUUGAUAUGUUUCCUAUGAAUUCUUCUUUCCUUUUCCUAGUGUUUGCAGAAAAUGAUUCUAUAUCUCCGUCUGAUCUUGAUCGAAUGAGAAAAAUCGGAGUACUUGAAGGUGAAGGUGAAGUGUCCAGUUUCAAAUCUUCCAAUGGGGAUGAAUUGUUCACUGACAUUGUCGAAGGCUGAUCGCGGUCAUAGUUCAUUCUCUUCGAACAAGAAUCCUUGAGCCUGGUGUUAUUGCGGCUGAGCAAGUUCUUGUUGCUUGACAGCCCCAUUCCCUGAAGAAGCCGCCUCCGACGCUCCUUAAUUGAUCCGGGCUCCGCCAUCCACAUGUUGAAAUCCCUAAGCAUUGAUGCCUGGGCUCUGGCUGGGUCGAUGCCCCGCAUGUUGUGAAUGGGGGCCGAUGACAUGGCGGAAGCAAAGGAUGUGCGACUGUCAUCACCCUCGUCAUCGUCUGACCCAGAAGAUGCCAAGUCAAUGGGUACAGCGGAGGGCAAUCUAUCGAAGCUUUCAAAGAAGCGGUCAUCAUCAUCGUCAUCUAGUAAACCUUCCCAAUUCAUUGUCAUUGUCCUUCGCUCCAUCACUGUGCAUUUUGUAUGAAGUUUUUGGUGCAUUACUGAACCUCUUUGUUGAAUUUGAAUCAUUUUUGUACAUUGGCGAAUAGGUAUUAUCAGCAGAUCAAAUCAGAAUCGAGAAAAGAUAGAAGAAAAAAUGUGUGAGAUCUUGAGUGAGCUGUGCUAGAAUAUUUCUUUUUUCUUCUUUUGUUUCAUUGAGAAAGAAGUGGCUUGGAAAGAGAGGAUGGAAGAGAGAAAAACAAGGGAGAUGACAGUUAUGUUUUUCUUUGUUUGGUUGGCAAGAAAGAAAGGGUCAAGGGGUUGUCAAUUACCUCUCCUCACGUCCCUACAUGUUACCAAGCAAGUGGAUUUCGUUAACAUUUUCAAAACUUGUCUAGAUUUACCACCACUCAUAUCUUGCCACGUCAAACCCUAUAAUUCUUUUUUAUUUUUUGAUUUUUAAGUGAUGGAUACGACCCCUACCCGCUUUGACCUGAAUCUUAAUAUCAUGAUCUUAUUGUAAUAAUCUGACGAUCUAGAUUUAAAGUUGAAUGAAAAUAUGAUAUUGUCCUUGGGUGUUUGAAAAAAA